rnacentral:sRNA from 1 species
GCUGGGUGUGGUGGUGCACCCCUGUAAUCCCAGCGGCUUGGGAGGCUGAGGUAGGAGGAUCACAAGUUCAAAGCCAUCCCCAGCAACUGUGGGGUGCUAAGCAACUCAGUGAGACCCUGUCUCUA